rnacentral:rRNA from 1 species
UCUCAACAACGGAUAUCUUGGCUCUCGCAACGAUGAAGAACGCAGCGAAAUGCGAUACGUAGUGUGAAUUGCAGAAUUCCGUGAACCAUCGAAUCUUUGAACGCAUAUUGCGCUCGAGCCCUCGGGCAAGAGCAUGUCUGCCUCAGCGUCGGUUUACACCCUCACCCCUCCCUCCUUGUGUGGGUCGGUUGGCUUGCUAGCCAGCCUCAGGGGUGGAUCUGGCUUCCCCAAACCGCUUUGGCGGGUUGGGUUGGCUGAAGUUUAGAGGCUUAAACAAGGACCCGAUAUGGGCUUCAACUGGAUAGGUAGCACCGGCUUCUGCCGACUACACGAAGUUGUGGCUUGUGGACUUUGUUAGGGGCCAAGCAGGAAACAUGCUUGCAUGUUCUAAACUUUCGACCUGAGCUCAGGCAAGGCUACCCGCUGAACUUAAGCAUAUCAAUAAGCGGAGGAAAAGAAACUAACAAGGAUGCGCUUAGUAACGGCGAGCGAACCGCGCAAAGCCCAACUUGAAAAUCUCCCUUGGAGAAUUGUAGUCUAUAGAAGUACCCUCUGCGACGGGNCGAACUCAAGUCUCCUGGAAAGGAGCGUCAGAGAGGGUGAGAACCCCGUAAGUUCGCGCUUUGUUGCCUCACGAGGUGCUUUCAAAGAGUCNGGUUGCUUGGGAAUGCAGCCNAANUUGGGGGUAAUCCCAUCUAAGNUAAAUAUNGGCGANAAACGAUAGCAANAAGUACNGUGAGGAAAGAUAAAAGAAUUUGAAAAAAAGUUAAAA